rnacentral:lncRNA from 1 species
CUUUUUCAUCAUGAAUCUACCUUAAACCAUUUAGCAUUCUUCAAAAAAGUAGCUCCCUCCCUGGUGCUGUAAUUGAAAAUGGGACCUCAUACAAGAUGGCUUGCAUGGUUGCUUUGAAAGUCAGAAAAUGGGCCUUAAUUACAUUGCAUUUGUAUGAAACAGAUGGUGGGAGGUCACCUGAAUUCAUUACUGCUGGUAGAUGUCUCCUUGUCAACAGACAUCGUGAGAAGAUAGCCCAUUGUUCCUGGGUCCAGAUCCAGGAAGUUGGCAGGGAGAGAGAGCUGCGUGGAGCUGUUGUAACAGGUCCUGAAGAAGCUGCACUUCUCUGCUGGUUUCUGCUCUGCCAUCUUCUGGAACUCCCUGAUUUUAACAGACAAAAUUUCCUGUGGUCAGAGCUUUCAUUGUGAGCUACAUGGGGAUCAAAGAAGGUGCUGGGAGAAAACAAAAAGAAUUGGAAGCCAACUGCUUAACUUUGAGCACGUGAGAAGCAUAUUAAUUCUUUACAAUGCUACAAAACAAUCCACAUUC